rnacentral:misc_RNA from 1 species
GAUGAAGAACGCAGCGAAAUACGAUAAGUAGUGUGAAUUGCAGAAUUCAGUGAAUCAUCGAAUCUUUGAACGCACAUUGCGCCCCUCGGUAUUCCGUGGGGCAUGCCUGUUCGAGCGUCAUUUACCCCUCAAGCACUGCUUGGUGUUGGGCGUCUGUCCCGCUUCGCGCGCGGACUCGCCCCAAAGGUAUUGGCAGCGGUCGUGCCAGCUUCUCGCGCAGCACAUUGCGCUUCUCGAGGCGGUCGAUCGGCGUCCACGAAGCUCACCUCCACCGUUUGACCUCGGAUCAGGUAGGGAUACCCGCUGAACUUAAGCAUAUCAAUAAGCGGAGGA